rnacentral:rRNA from 1 species
ACUCAAAUGAAUAGACGGGGGCCCGCACAAGCGGUGGAACACGUGGUUUAAUUCGAUGCUACGCGAGGAACCUUACCAGGGCUUGACAUGCUGGAUGUAUCUUGGUGGAAACAUUGAGAGAUCCGUAUCCAAUCGGAAGCCAGUGCAGGUGCUGCAUGGCUGUCGUCAGCUCGUGCCGUGAGGUGUUCCCUUAAGUGGGAUAACGAGCGCAACCCUCAUCUUUAGUUGCCACUACAAGUUUUAUAUUUGUAAGCACUCUAGAGAGACUGCCUACGUUAAGUAGGAGGAAGGCGGGGAUGACGUCAAGUCAGCAUGGCCCUUAUGUCCUGGGCUACACACGUGUUACAAUGGCGUAUACAAUGGGAAGCUAAGUCGCGAGAUGGAGCAAAUCCUAUAAAGUACGCCUCAGUUCGGAUUGUAGGCUGCAAUUCGUCUACAUGAAGCCGGAAUCGCUAGUAAUGGCGUAUCAGCUACGACGCCGUGAAUACGUUCCCGGGCCUUGUACACACCGCCCGU